CUCUGCAAUAAAGGCACACAGACGACCACAGCUGUUCUAGAGGUUGAGAAGUCCAAGGUCAAGAUUCAACUUCUGGUGAGGGUUUCUUGCUACAUGUCAGAGUGGAAGAAAUUUCUCCCUUUUCUUCACCUCCGUCUCUUGCCUUUCCUUCUCUUUACAUGCUAAG